GAAGCUCGCCUACAUGAAGCUGGAGUUACUAGUAAUCGCAGAUCAGAAUGCUGCGGUGAAUGCGUUCCCGGGUCUUGUACACACCGCCCGUCACACCACGGGAGUUGGAGACGCCCGAAGCCGAUUAUCUAACCUUUUGGAAGAAGUCGUCGAAGGUGGAAUCAAUAACUGGGGUGAAGUCGUAACAAGGUAGCCGUAUCGGAAGGUGCGGCUGGAUCACCUCCUUUCUAAGGAGA
rnacentral:rRNA from 1 species